rnacentral:rRNA from 1 species
GAUGAACGCUGGCGGUAUGCCUAACACAUGCAAGUCAUACGAGAGUUUUUAACUCAAGUGGCGGACGGGUGAGUAACACGUGAGAAUUUGCCUUUAGGAGGGGGAUAACAACUGGAAACGGGUGCUAAUACCCCAUAUGCUUUCGAGUGAAAUGGAUUUAUCUGCCUAAAGAGAAGCUCGCGGCUGAUUAGCUUGUUGGUAGGGUAAUGGCCUACCAAGGCGACGAUCAGUAUCUGGUUUGAGAGGACGACCAGACACGCUGGAACUGAGACACGGUCCAGACUCCUACGGGAGGCAGCAGUGGGGAAUUUUCCGCAAUGGGCGAAAGCCUGACGGAGCAAUACCGCGUGAGGGAAGAAAGCCUAUGGGUUGUAAACCUCUUUUUUCAGGGAGGAACUCAAUGACGUUAC